rnacentral:rRNA from 1 species
UACGUAGGGUGCGAGCGUUAAUCGGAAUUACUGGGCGUAAAGCGUGCGCAGGCGGUUGUGCAAGACAGAUGUGAAAUCCCCGGGCUUAACCUGGGAAUGGCAUUGGUGACUGCACGGCUAGAGUGUGUCAGAGGGGGGUAGAAUUCCACGUGUGAGCAGUGAAAUGCGUAGAGAUGUGGAGGAAUACCGAUGGCGAAGGCAGCCCCCUGGGAUAACACUGACGCUCAUGCACGAAAGCGUGGGGAGCAAACAGG